CCUACGGGAGGCAGCAGUGAGGAAUAUUGGUCAAUGGACGAGAGUCUGAACCAGCCAAGUAGCGUGAAGGAUGACUGCCCUAUGGGUUGUAAACUUCUUUUAUAUGGGAAUAAAACGUUCCACGUGUGGGAUUUUGUAUGUACCAUCUGAAUAAGGAUCGGCUAACUCCGUGCCAGCAGCCGCGGUAAUACGGAGGAUCCGAGCGUUAUCCGGAUUUAUUGGGUUUAAAGGGAGCGUAGGUGGAUUGUUAAGUCAGUUGUGAAAGUUUGCGGCUCAACCGUAAAAUUGCAGUUGAAACUGGCAGUCUUGAUUACAGUAGAGGUGGGCGGAAUUCGUGGUGUAGCGGUGAAAUGCUUAGAUAUCACGAAGAACUCCGAUUGCGAAGGCAGUUCACUGGACUGCAACUGACACUGAGGCUCGAAAGUGUGGGUAUCAAACAGGAUUAGAUACCCGGGUAGUC
rnacentral:rRNA from 1 species